AUGCUUGAGCCUGUGCUGGUGCUAGAGCCUGAACUUGAAGUUGAGCUGGACCGAGAUUGCUCCCCAGACGGGGCCUGUCGUGGAGCCCCAAAGGCUGAAGCCCCGCUCCCGGCGGCCCCCAAUUCCCCCAGGCCUGACCCGGCCGCCUUUCCGUCCGCGGAUGCCCCGACCACUUCCGGGCCGCGGCCUCCACGCCUCCCCCUCAGCCCGCUCAGGGCCGUAAUCUUUCUCCCCGUGCUCAGCUCUGUGCCCCGUCGCCAGGCCGCUGCCACACCACGGUACUGCAGAGUCGGCAGGCUGCAUGAGAUAUAUCUGAAUAUACACUAUUACUUAGGACACGUACUACCUGUGGAACUUCACCACAAACAGAGCUUGUAUCCUGGGAACAGGCCGUUCCACGAUUUUGGAGUGGGAACUUCAAACGAAGUUGGUAAGGGAGGCAAAUGCGUAAGUGGAAACUUUGAGGAAACUGGCAGCCAGCGCCUGGAAACCAGACAGCCCUUCGCGCUCUGCUCCACCACCUUCUGCCCGCCAGUACAAAGCGGGGCUGGUGCGCCUGUGAGUCAGAGCCCUGCUCUCAGGAACUGGGCCCGGAGAGAUUCCCAGCAUCUGUUUCCUCAACUAUCACCCGGAGGAUACUGGUGCUAAAUCACAGCGAAUAAAAAUAGCCUCAGAGACGGGACUUUCAAACAAAUAAG
rnacentral:lncRNA from 1 species